GCCCUUUGCUCAGUUAUUAGAGGACGAGGCUCCUAAUCUCAGGGGUUGUGGGUUCGAGUCCCACAUUGGGCA